rnacentral:lncRNA from 1 species
CUCGUGGUGCGCCGUUUUUUAAGCCCAUCAGAAAAGCGCAGUAUUCGGGUGGGAGUGACCCGACUUUCCAGGUGCCGUCCAUCACCCCUUUCUUUGACUCGGAAAGGGAACUCCCUGACCCCUUGCGCUUCCCGAGUGAGGCAAUGCCUCGCCCUGCUUCGACUCGCGCAUGGUGCGCGCACGCACUGACCUGCGCCCACUGUCUGGCACUCCCUAGUGAGAUGAACCCGGUACCUCAGAUGGAAAUGCAGAAAUCACCAGUCUUCUGCGUCGCUCACGCUGGGAGCUGUAGACCGGAGCUGUUCCUAUUCGGCCAUCUUGUCUCCUCCCGUGAACUGGAAAUUCCCUGUCUCCCCUUAACCAGCACUGGAAGCAGAUGGGAAGAGAAUAGCUGUGACUGACUCACACUCUAACCCAGCAACCCUCAGCAUACAAGUGGGAGACCAUAAAGUUUUUCAAGACCCCAAAAGAGGCCAAAGGUCUGAUAAUUGCUGGGAGAAGGUCCACUAUCCAAGAAGAGAAGAGGAAAAGGAAUUAAAGUCUCCAAGCACUGGGGAUGCAAGAAGAGAGUUGCACAGGAGAGAAAGAAGAAGUUGUCCACGGGGUGACCCUGCAAUUGGAGGGAAAUGCAUGUGGAUAUGUGCAGGGAGUCUAGGAAGUGAAGCCUUAGUGAUCAUUUACAAGAAUGAGGGUUAGGUAAAAUAAGGGAUGCAAAGCCACCUGUAGUCUAUUCUAACCUCACUCCAUCACUCUAUACAAUCUGUGUUUUAUCAUCUGAAAUGUUAAGUAAAGACCUGUUUGGGUCUUCUUCAGAAUCCCAUACAUUUGAGUUCAUUAGUCAGAAAAAGGGAAAAUACCACCACCCCAUCCUGGAAUGGCAGUCAUGUACACUUUUAUAAUGAGAGAUUGGGCAGCAAAGGGGGCCCCUUGUGGACCUCACCCAG